rnacentral:rRNA from 1 species
AGUUUGAUCCUGGCUCAGAGUGAACGCUGGCGGCAGGCCUAAUACAUGCAAGUCGAACGGCAGCACAGUGGAGCUUGCUCCAUGGGUGGCGAGUGGCGGACGGGUGAGGAAUACAUGGGAAUCUGCCCAGUCGUGGGGGAUAACGUAUGGAAACGUACGCUAAUACCGCGUGCGCCCUUCGGGGAAAGUCGGGGACCGCAAGGCCUGACGCGAUUGGAUGAGCCCAUGUUCGAUUAGCUAGUUGGCGGGGUAACGGCCCACCAAGGCGACGAUCGAUAGCUGGUCUGAGAGGAUGAUCAGCCACACUGGAACUGAGACACGGUCCAGACUCCUACGGGAGGCAGCAGUAGGGAAUAUUGGACAAUGGGCGCAAGCCUGAUCCAGCCAUGCCGCGUGAGUGAAGAAGGCCCUCGGGUUGUAAAGCUCUUUUGUUGGGGAAGAAAAGCAGUUGGUUAAUACCCGAUUGUUCUGACGGUACCCAAAGAAUAAGCACCGGCUAACUUCGUG